rnacentral:rRNA from 1 species
AUUGAACGCUGGCGGCAGGCCUAACACAUGCAAGUCGAGCGAGCGGCGGACGGGUGUGUAAUGUAUGGGAAUCUGCCCGAUGGAGGGGGAUAACUACUGGAAACGGUGGCUAAUACCGCAUACUUUCGGAUGAACCCAGAUGGGAUUAGCUAGUAGGUGGGGUAAAGGCUCACCUAGGCGACGAUCUCUAGCUGGUCUGAGAGGAUGAUCAGCCACACUGGGACUGAGACACGGUCCAGACUCCUACGGGAGGCAGCAGUGGGGAAUAUUGCACAAUGGGCGCAAGCCUGAUGGAGCAACGCCGCGUGUAUGAAGAAGGUCUUAGGAUCGUAAAGCACUGUCAUCAGGGAGGCGGUACCCGCAGAAGAAGCCCCGGCUAACUACGUGCCAGCAGCCGCGGUAAUAC